GUCAGAGGCUUAGCCAACUUACGACCCAGGCGCCAUAAAAAUUACAUUUAGAAGAAGGAAUUGAGUGAGGUUACAAGUUUUUAAUCAGAAUUGUCAGCCGGAACUCUUGGAAAGAAGGAAAUGUUGGAGGACUCUGCAUCCAAAAGAUAGGAAACAGAUCAAAUGUCCCUCAUUUGAAGGGCCUGGCUAAACUAUGGCCCCUCGCAUGGUGAACUACAACAAAGAAUGAGCCAGCUCUUUAUAGAGGAAGUGAAUUUUGAAAACCACCAGUCAGACCAUGUACCUCCUGAUCUCAAUAACUAGCGUCUUCCUUUCUCAUUCAAGAAAGUCUGAGUCCUAGAGUGGCUUAUAAAGUCCCCUGCAGUUUGGCCCAGUUCACUGAUUUUCACAGAUGCUCCUUCUGUUUCGUCUUCCUCUUCUCAAACAGGCUGGGCACCCUCUGCUUCAGGGCCUUGUCACCUGCUGUUCCCUCUGCCUGGAAUGCCCUGCCUCAGACUAGUAUGGCUCUCUUCUUUUGGGGCUUUGGGGCUUUGCGCAGAUUUCACCCUCUCAAUUAGGGCCUGUCCUGACCUUUCAGUUUAAAAUUGCAACUCCCCAUCUCUGUUCUCUGCCUUUUUUUUUUUUCUACGUGGUGUCUAUUGAAUAUGUAACUAUAUUGAAUAUAAAGCUAUACAUUCAUUAGGCAACUCAGAAAGAAUUCAUGAGAACAUGGUGCCAGCAGUUGUCUCUGUGGAGAACAACUAGCAGCAGGGUGAGAUUAAAAUUUAUCCUUUUCUCUUUUUUCCUCACUCCUAUCUGCAUUACAAAAAAAAAAAAAAAAAUUAACAUCAGCCCCGAGUUUAUGGCACAGACAUGUACUGAGCACCUGUGCUGUGCCAGGCAUUAUGUUAGGCGUUGGGGUAGAGAGACAGCAGACAGGACAUGUAGGGUAAAGACUCUGGGUAAUAGUUUAGAGGAGAGAAGGCACCCAAAUCAUCCUGGCGAGGGAAAGGGGAAGCCGCAGGCGGGACAGCACAGUCCAGGGCAUGUGGACUUACUAGAAUGUGACGGUCCCCCAGGGCCUGCUAAGUGGCAGUGAUGGACACAUGGAGAAUGGCCAAUGACAAUUAGAGAAAAGAGACAAAAUACAAAAAAAGGGCAAACUGCAGGGGAUCAUUUGAUGCCAAGCUGAGUUUGGCCAUUAUCCAAGGAGACGCUGAAAGGUCUUUCGAAGGGAAUGACGGGCUGAGAUCUGAACUUAACUUGUGAACUUUCUCCCAUGAGAAUUAAAGCUGCACGAAGCCAGAGGUGACGAACUGGUGGCCUACAGUUUGCUUUGGACCAGGUUUGUUUGUUUGUUUGUUUUGUUUUGUUUUUAAUUGGCCCACAUAAGAACAUGGAGGAACAAGAAUUCGAUAGGAAAACCAUUUGGCAGUAUCUCUUAAAGGUCCUCACGCACCGGGACACACGCACACUUGUGUGCACACACUCAAGACUGCUUGAAGAUUCAGCUUUACUCAAAUGCAGUUUUCCAAGAGAUUCUCCUACUUCAUUCCUCCUUAGCUCUCUUGGACCCUAAAGCAGGCCGCCAACAUACCAGACCCGUGCAGGCCUCUGGCAGCUGACGCUCACCGCGGGGCUGGGAAGUUUGUGCCUUCCAGGUCACUGCCUGUGCUUGGUUUGUGCCAGUCACGGACACAACCGAUGCAGGCUUUACUUAAUUCACCCAAAUGUUGAUGGCCCAGGUGCCCCUAGUAUGGUCUUUACAAGUAGGCAGAGUAACACCCCACCCCCCACUUAUCCACCUCUUAAUAUCCAGAACCUGUGACGAUGCUACCUUAUGUGGCAAAAGGGCUUUGUAGAUGUGACUAAGUUAAAGGUUUUCAUUAAAAAAAAUUUUUUUUUAAA